rnacentral:rRNA from 1 species
AGAGUUUGAUCCUGGCUCAGAACGAACGUUGGCGGCGUGGAUUAGGCAUGCAAGUCGGGGGAAUCCCAGCAAUGGGGGAACCGGCGUAAGGGGCAGUAAGGCAUGGGUACCUACCCUAGGGUUCGGGAUAGCCAUCAGAGAUGGUGGGUAAUACCGGAUGAUGUCGUGAGACCAAAGAUUUAUCGCCCUUGGAGGGGCCCAUGUGAUAUUAGCUUGUUGGUGAGGUAAUGGCUCACCAAGGCAAAGAUGUCUAGCGGGUGUGAGAGCACGACCCGCGCCACUCGCACUGAGACACUGGCGAGACACCUACGGGUGGCUGCAGUCGAGGAUCUUCGGCAAUGAGCGCAAGCUUGACCGAGCGACGCCGCGUGUGCGAUGAAGGCCUUCGGGUUGUAAAGCACUGUCGAGGGGGAGAAAGGGGAGACCUUGAUCUAUCCCUGG